rnacentral:rRNA from 1 species
GACGAACGCUGGCGGCGUGCUUAACACAUGCAAGUCGAACGGAAAGGCCUCUUUCGGGGGGUACUCGAGUGGCGAACGGGUGAGUAACACGUGAGUAACCUGCCCUUGACUUUGGGAUAACUUCAGGAAACUGGGGCUAAUACCGGAUAGGAGCUCCUGCUGCAUGGUGGGGGUUGGAAAGUUUCGGCGGUUGGGGAUGGGCUCGCGGCUUAUCCGCUUGUUGGUGGGGUAGUGGCUUACCAAGGCUUUGACGGGUAGCCGGCCUGAGGGGGUGAGCGGCGACAUUGAGACUGAGAUAAGGCCCAGACUCCUACUGGAGGCAGCAGUGGGGAAUAUUGCACAAGGGGUGGAAGCCUGAUGCAGCAACGCCGUGUGCGGGAUGACGGCCUUCGGGUUGUAAACCGCUUUCGCUCAUGACGAAGCUUUGUGUGACGGUAGUGGGUAAAGAAGCACCGGCUAACUACGUG